rnacentral:rRNA from 1 species
GACGAACGCUGGCGGCGUGCUUAACACAUGCAAGUCGAACGGAAAGGCCCUGCUUUUGUGGGGUGCUCGAGUGGCGAACGGGUGAGUAACACGUGUGUAACCUGCCCUUGACUUUGGGAUAACUUCAGGAAACUGGGGCUAAUACCGGAUAGGAGCUCCUGCUGCAUGGUGGGGGUUGGAAAUUUUCGGCGGUUGGGGAUGGACUCGCGGCUUAUCAGCUUGUUGGUGGGGUAGUGGCUUACCAAGGCUUUGACGGGUAGCCGGCCUGAGAGGGUGACCGGCCACAUUGGGACUGAGAUACGGCCCAGACUCCUACGGGAGGCAGCAGUGGGGAAUAUUGCACAAUGGGCGGAAGCCUGAUGCAGCAACGCCGCGUGCGGGAUGACGGCCUUCGGGUUGUGAACCGCUUUCGCCUGUGACGAAGCGUGAGUGACGGUAAUGGGUAAAGAAGCACCGGCUAACUACGUG